rnacentral:siRNA from 1 species
UACGGGCUUUGUAUGUACAGU